GGUACUGUAAUUACGGAAAGAGAGAAGGUACCUGGGAUGUAAUACUUGAAUCUCAGGAAGAAGUAAGAAGAUUUGCAGAUGCAUUAAUACUUGUUGCAAAAUUUUAUAAAUUCGAUUUUAUAAGUCUGGUUGUUAAAUAUUGAAAAUACCAUUAAAAAGAUUUCUUUUUAAACUGCGAUGGCAUUUACUUGAAUUAUAACUGGACGAAAUCAAAAUUGGAAAACGGUUUGGCACUUGCAAAAAAUCACAGCAGAGAUAUUCAUGAUAUUUAUGUAGGACUUGAUAUUUGGGGAAGAUGUUGUCCUGGUGGUGGUGGAUUUAAUUCAACAUAUGCUUUACCAAAAAUACGACACUAAGGACUUUCUGUCGCGCUUUUUGGUCCAGGUUGGACUCACGAAUUUUUCGUAUCUAAGACAUUCCAAGAAAUAGAAGAUCUAUUUUGGGCACAGUUGUUUCCUUAUUUAUAUGUUCAUGUACCUAUCUACGAAGAAGAAGUAUUCAAAACAUCAUUUUGCCGUGGCAGUGGUAGCUUGUAUUAUCGCUGUGGUCAGGCACUAUAUGAAAAGGAUGGGAAAAGAUUUAAACACAAAUCAUUUUACAAUUUAUCCCUGCAAAAUCCACAAAUAUCAGUACCUAUACCGCACAUGAAAUUUACAUCAUCGCCUCAACUUCCAGAACCGAAAAGUGAAAACGAUCGAAAUGAGUGUUCAAAAGAACCGAUACAAUAUGUUUAUGAAACGAGGAAGAAUGUUAUUCGAGUAUUAAAAAAUGUUGUAAAUAUUGAAAAUAAAAUGCCAAUGCAUCGAACUGUCAGAAUUUGAUAUCUUUGUCCACGGGGAUAAGACCACUGAGACAACAGUAACAACAUAGAGAUCGUCCUCCAGACCAUAAAUAAUAAUAAUCUUUAAAAUUGCUACAGGACAAACACCGAA